AGGGAGAAAGGAAGAAAAGAAAAAGGGAAAAAUAAGGUUUUAAAGGUUCCAAGUUAAUUUGGUAAGUCAAUUUAGCCCAUUUUCUUAUGAUUUUUGAGUUUUUGGAAUCCUAGAGAUAAAUACUACUUGUUUUAAGUAGAAAUUUUGAAAGUCAUUAGAUUUUUAAGUAUGGUUCAUGUUGAAUAAAAUGAUGGAAUUGGGGGUUUAUUUGAUAGAAAUUUUGAUUGAAAUUGAAUAAAGGAUUGAAUCGUAAACUAAGCUAUAAGUUUUGAGUUUUAGGGAUUAAAUGGAAAUAAAUUUGAAAUUAUGAAAAUAUGCUGGAAAUUUAAUAGUUAAGUAUGAGUUUGGACAAAAUUUGAAUAGAAAUGAAGUAUGAAUUGAGAUAGAAAAAGUAAGUAAAUCUAGUUACGAUUAAAUUGAAAUUAAAGUAGAAAUUGAAUAAAAAUUGUAUUAAUUAGAUAUAAAUUAGUAGUGAAUUAACGAAUAUGAAUUGUUUUAAUUCCCGUAGCUAAUGUUGUCUCGGGAAACCUCGGCUAAGCAAGGAAAAAAAAUGGCAAAGACAAAGGGAGUUAGCUCGAGAAAAUACGGUUUGUAUUUCUAUAAUCCGAACCUAGUUAUUAAUUGUUAUAUUUUUUUAUUCAAUGCAUUUAAUAAAUGUUGAAGUGAGAAUUAUUGUGUUUAUAAUGGAAAUGGAUUAAUUUGGUAUGUGAUGAAUUUAUAUUGAUUGAAUUAAAUUGAAUUAUAUAUUAUAAAUAUAUAUGUGUGUGUGUGUGUGUGUGUGUGUGUGUGAAUGAGCUAUUAUGCAAUUAUGAUAAUUGAAUUUUGGAUAAAUAUUAUGAUAAAUAAUUAAGAUGGGAAUUAUUUGUAUUGUGUCUUUAUAAUUGAAAUGAAUUGAUUUAGUGUGUGAUAAAUUAUAUUAAAUUGAUUUAUGAAUAUCUGUUUUAUUGAAUUUAUAUUGAUUGAAAUUAUUUUAAUUGAAUUUAUAUUGAUUGAAUUAUAUAAUAUAUAUGAUUUAUGUAGAAAUUUGAAUAUUGAAUGAAUGUUAUAUUAAAAAAUAUAUUGAUUGGAAAUAUGAGGAAAUUUGCAUGAAUAUAUGAGAUUGUGAUAUUUGAAUAUUUGAUAUUAAAAAAUGAAUUGAAUUGUACUGAAUUAUGAAUUAAUGUGAAUAAUUGAAAUAUAUUGUUAAAUUGAAUGAAAUUGUAUGAAUUGUGAAAAUAGGUAAAUAUAUGUAAUUAUCUGAAUGAGAUAUUGAUGAAAGAAUUAUUAAAUUGAGAAAGUGAAUGAAAUACCCUAUUAACUAGUCGGGCUAAGUCGGAUAUAAUUGGCAUGCCAUAGGAUCUGGAAGUGUACGGGAUUUGCCGGCUUUACCGAUCAGGCACUUUAUGUGUCGUAUUUCAGGCACCUCGUGUGUCGUAUCAGGCACCUCUUGUGUCGUUUUAGGCACUUUAUGUGUCGUAUACUGAUCAGGUACUAUGUACCGUUUUAGGCACAAUGUGCCGUACUGGUGUGUUUGGGUUGGAAUCCGUGAAUCCGUCAAAGUCCGGGUUUGUUAAUAGGGGUAAAUAAGUGAAAAGAUAAAUCGAGUGAAUUUGAUUGAUUGAACUAUUGGAAUGAAAUGAGAAAUUGAAUUGAGAAUUGAAAUUGAGAUAUGAGAUUGAAAACAUGAACCAAAAGGUUCAUGAAAUGAGUGAAGUUCAAAUGGAUGAUGAUUGAUGUUAGAAUGAAUUAAAAUGGUAUAUUGUUAAGAAGUAAAGUGUGAAUACAAGUGAAUUGUGAAUAUAUUGAAAGAAUUUAUACAGUAAGCAAAUGAAAAGAAUUGAGCAAAUAUGUUGUUGUGUUUGUUCUAUGGCUUGUAUAGAAUUUUUAUGGUAAGUAAAUGAAACUUAUCUAUAAAAUAAAUAAAUGAAUGGUUAUAUUUAUCAUUGUGAUUUUAAGUUGAAUUGCUAUAUUACCAAGUGUUCGGAUUAUAGAAAUACCACUGAGUAUACCAUACUCAGCAUACGGUUUGUUUCCGUGCGCAGGUUAAGUAAAGAUAGUACGUUGAAUCAGCAUCCCAGUCCGAUCCCGAAUUCAUUAAGGUAAAGUGUGUUAAUUAUUGGUAAUGGCAUGUACCUAAGAUGUCUUAUGUGUAUGUCAUUUUGAAAUUGUAAAUGUAAGGAUGAAAUAAAUAAAUUUAGAUUUGGCUAUGGUAUAAAAUAGGAUUUGACUAAUUUGGUAUGAAUUUGAAUUUUUGUGAGACAAUGUCAGAUUGAUUUUGGAAUUCCCUAUUCUGAAUUGGGAAAAUCAUUAAAAAUUGUAUAAAAAUAAUUACAGGCUAUAAUUUAUAUUCUUAGAAUUUUUAAUGAGUCUAUUUUCAAGAGAAAUAAACGGGAACAUCAUCCAAGUCCUGUGCUAUGAGAUAAUUAAAUUUUAGUAAAGAAAGGUCGAAACUGUCAAACAGCAGAUCAAUGGUAACUUUGAGGAAUAAACUGUACUAAUUGGCUAAACCAAAAAUUCUGAAAAUUUUAUGGUAGAAAGGUAUAUGAGUCUAGUUUUAAGAAAAAUUAACGGAACUUAAUUUGGAGUUUCGUAACUCUAGAUAUAAAUAUUUUAGUGACUGUUACUCAAGAAGACAGUUUUGACAUGAACAUAAGAAAGUAAAUGAAAUUGUGUGUAAUUAUUCUGUAAACUCCGGUAAUGCUCCAUAACUCUCUUCCGGGACGGUUUGGGGUUAGGGGGUGUUACAAUCUGUCUGCUCUUGACACUCCCUAAUGAUCCUUUCCACUUCGAUGGAGUGCCUCAGAGUGACCUUCUUCAGCUCUGCCACAAUGAUUAUGUGUCUUUCCUUUUCGACAGAAAGCUCAACUCCACACUCCUCCGCCUUUGUUUCCAUAAUCGCCAGGCACUCAAUGAUAACUCACUGUUGCUCAUUUAUUAUUUCAUUUUCUUCUCUCAUCUUUUUGUACAGCUCGCGUACCUUAUCUAGGUCGUCUCGAUUAUCAGCGAGCUUCUUAUCACGGGCCUCCGCGUACCUCAAGCCAAGAGUGCCAACCUCAGACAGUAGGUGGCAUAAAGAUAAGGUUAAAUCCUCUACAGCCUUAACAGGAACCCUUUCAGCUGUGAGAACUAUCGAAGAAUUUUCACUAGCAGGGAAGAGAGAGUAUCAUCGGUAAUGGUAAUCGACAAGCUCUCUCGGCCAAUGGUUGGCAAGUUCAUUAGAGGGGAAGAAUGGAUGGAGGUAACUAUAGCAGUAGGGCCUCCACUAUCAACUAUCAUCUUCUAACGGUGCUCUAGUUGAAUACCUCCACCUUUCUCCUCGCUAGAGGGGUUGACACGUACUGCCCAAGUUGAAACCCGCCUCUUGCGACUACCACUUAUUAAAGUAUCGAUGUCCAUGGCUUCGUUAUGCUCAUGUAAGAUGUUGUUACUAUCAGUGUCUCUUGAACUACUUUCGUUGCCUUGAUUGACCCUGCACCACCAAGAACUAUAGAAUCAGUAGAAGUAAGUGACAACUGAGUAACUCUAACCUCCUCCUCUAGCUCGAAUUCUAGGAGGGCAGAGGGACGAAGCACUAUCCUGCAAUAGUGGUAGAAGUAGUUAGCAGGCUUCAUCAUGCGCUCCGUCAAUUUUAUCUCCAUAGGGUGGAGGGAAUCUAUAACGACCUGUUUUCGGUGAAAUCGGAACAAUGGUUUCAGGACCAUAAAUUUAAGGUCAUAAAAUUUAUUUUAAUAUUUUUAUGGUCUAUAGCAAGUUAGAAUUAUGGUAUAAAAAUUUCGUUAAGAAAUUUUACUGUUUGUAUGCUCAAUUUGUGAAAUAGGACUAAAUCGCAUAAAGUGUGAAAGUUGUGUUCUAUUAGCUAAAGGUGUAAAACAGCUAUAUAACUUUAAAGUAUAGGUCCUUAUUAAGCAAUUAGACCUCUAUUUGAGUUAGUGGAUGUACAUGGAGAGAAAUUAUAAAAAAAAUUGUAAGGUUAGGUGAUAUUAGGUGAUUUAAUUGAUAAACUAAAAAUAAAGCAAAAGCUAGCUAUCAUCUUUUUCACCUUCUUCUUCACCAACCGUUUCUAUCAACAAGAAAUAGCCAUGGAAGCUUGAAAAUUUCAGCCAAACUAUACUCUUGCAUGUAAGUUAUUUUGGUGGUUGUUUUUGUUGAUUUUUAUGUUUUUGGAACCCUUGUAGCUUAAGCUAGCUAAUUAGGGGGAUAAUUUGCAAGAUAAUGGAAAGUAUAGGGUUUUGAAAUGAGAGUAUUUUGGUUGUUUUUGAAGUUUAAUGGAAGAAAAUAAAUCUUGGUUGUUAAAUAAACAACUUUUGUUAAAGGAUUUUUAAUGAAAUUGUCAAUUAAAGGUUAAGAUGUGAAAAAAUGAAAAGUUGGUGAUAAAUGUGUGAAAUUAUGGGAUUUAUAGGCUGUUAUAAGCACAUAUAAGUUUCGGCUAGGCUUGGGUGUACUGAAAUUUCAUGAAUUUCAUUUUUUUGAGCCUACGGACUAAUUUGUAAAGAAGUCAAAUGUUAGGGGCAAAAUGGUAAUUUUUCCAUAUUAUGAAAUUGAACUGAAUUGAAUAGAAUAAUUAUUAAAUUGGUUAAAUUUGAUUAUAUAGAUCAAGAAAAGCAAUGUACAAAAUUAGAUCGGGAAUGACAAAGUUAUCGAUUAAAUGAUUGUUUUCCGUCAUACGAGUUCGAGGUAAGUUCGUAUAAUUGAAUUGAGUAUUUAUAUGCUUUAAUUGAAUUAUACCUAUGUGAAUGGAUUUAAUUAUGAUGUAUAAUUAUCAAAUACAUAACUAUUGACAUACGAGAAAUACCGAGUCCCGUUUGAACUUUAGAAAUUCGUAAGAUAUAAAUAACAUGUCAUUAGGGUUACCGUUUUGGUUGAGAUCCUGCAUUUGUUGCGUGCUCACCACAGCUCGUAUAAGCUUACCGAUUUGCAGCUCGUUAGAGCUUACCGAUACUCAACUCGGAAGAGCUUACCGAUUAUCGCUCUUAGGAGCAUAUAUGUAUAAGAAUUGACGAAUUACCGUUCAGUAUACCUUGGGUGUACCACCCGCGUAUCUAAUGAGAUUCUAAGUGGUUCAACGGGUAUAGUUAUAUUAUGAGAUUAUAUGAGAUUGAUAUGAAUAAGUACUAGUAAUUAUAUGGAAAUGGAUGAUAUUUGAUACAUGUUUAUAUGGAAUUCAAUCAAUUAAUGAGCUCCUAUAUGAUUCUUGUUUUAUGUGAAUAUAUAACUAAUGGGAUUGUGGAUUGUAUUAUAGGCUUCGGCCAAAUUGAAUUGUAUCAUGCUUUGGGUUUACUUACCUAAAUGUUGUUCAAAUGGUAAGUUUAAUUUGCAUUCUUUGAACUUACUAAGCUUAAUUGCUUACUCUAUUUAUUUUCCUAUGUUUUUAGUGGUUCGAAAGCUCGCUUGAUUUUGGAAGUUGUCAGAGAUCGUGUCACACUAUCAAACUCUAUUUUGGUACUUAGACUUUACAUUUUGGGUUAAAUCGCAUGUAUAAGUGUUUUGGUAAAUGUGGCCUAUACGUCUUAUGUUGUUUUGGUUAUAUGUAUAGCCAUGUGAUUUGGCUUAUUUUGGUAUACUUAGUUUGUAAAUAUGUAUAAAUGAUCUUUUGGUAUGUGGUGCAUAUUUGCUAUGUGAAAUUCAUGUUGAUGAAUAUGUAUUGAAAGUUCCAAGUGGUUGAAAUUUGAGAAUGUUAUGAAUGCUAAGUUAGAUAUAAUGUCUCA
rnacentral:lncRNA from 1 species